rnacentral:lncRNA from 1 species
CUGGGGAAAUACUCAGAACAGAACCACUGCAAGCGUGCCUAAGGGAGAAUUUGGUUAAGUUAACCUAGCUGUUCUCCGGUCCCAUGUGGCUAAGAUGAGUCUCAGUGGGGGCAGGGUUUCUUCAUGACUGGAGGAUCCUUUAAAAAAAAAACAUGUCUGGCCCAGAGAUAUCUACUAUUAUUUAAAUAUAGUCAAUUAUUAUUAAUAUGUUAUUAAAUUAAUCAGUAAUAAAUUAAUUAAUAAUAUUAAAUAGGAUACAGUAUUACUUAAUAUCUAUAGCCAACACUGUCAUUUGGGGACCAACAGGCUAGACUCUCCCUAUUAGAGAGCUUAAUCUGAAGGCUCAAUGUUGAAAUGAGUCUUCCUAAACAGCCUUUAAAAUGUCCUCAGUGAUGGUGUGAGACUGGCUCUUCUUUGACACAGGUUCUUCUUCAAAUUCUCCUCAGCAUCCACACUCUUGCUUAUUCCCUUAUUUAUUUGUUCAGCAGACACUGCGUUCCUAUUCUGAGCUCCAAUGGGGGGAGGGGGAGAUCAUGUGCUCACCAAGGAGUAACUGCUCUCCUGGGGUUGUGCCCUGAAGAGUAGGUGAUGGGUCCUUUUUAUCUGAUAACUGGUGUUCUCUGCUGGGGGAUGAAGGAAGGGUAAAAUCAGAAGUAGUUGGUUUUGUGCACUUAAUCCUCUUCCAACAAAAGUCUCAUGUGAAGGGACUGGGUUGGCAGAUGGUUCAGAGAGCACAGCAGAAGAAGUACAAGCAGAGGAAGGUCAGGAGGGGCCGGAAGGGGGAGGCAAACAGCAAAAGGUCUCAGCAUUCCUUCAGCCAUUGUGAUGAGCUUUGGAUGUGAUGCUAAGCAUGGUUGCCAGGGUUACCCAAAGAUUAGAAGUAAGAUAAAGUGUGUCCUCCAGGAGGUGUGCAGCGCUACGUGGAGAAAGAGCAUGACGAGUUUGGAGAUGCUCCUCAGGACAGUCCCCAGCGGCAGACCCACAGCUUUCCUCCUUGGCCGUCCUUGACUUUCCGCAAAGACCUCGACUCUUAUGAACGAGACAUCUCUUUCAGAUAUUACUCUACUUUGAAGACAGCAAGGAAAAGAAGAUUGAGAAAACUUCAGUGCGUGGUUCUUACACAGAAUCAAGAAUCAGGGUUCUCAACAGGUGCACACCUUUAAUCCCAGCACUUGGGAGGUGGCUCUCUCUGAGUUCAAGGCCAGCCUGGUCUACAGAGUGAGUUCCAGGACAGCUGGGACUACGCAGAGAAACAAACCCUGUCUUGAAAAAACAAAAUAAAACAAAAACAAAACAAACA